GCCAGUGUGGUGUAGUGGUUUGGGUGUUGGAUUACAACUCUGGAUACCAGAGUUCAAUUCCCUGCUCAGCCA